UUUUUUUUUCACACUUGGUACAGAUGCUAGAAGGCAAGCCAUCGUCUUCCUGAACCUAGUAUUGUCAAACAGAGAUGCUGGAUUGCAGACGCAACAGCACGCUUGCAGCCAGUGUGUGGAGGGGAUAUGCGCAUGCGCCUACGUUGGACGCUCAUCCUAGCAAUGGCGGUGAUGACGUCAUCAAGGAUACAUGUGAAGCGGU